rnacentral:rRNA from 1 species
AAUGAACGCUGGCGGCAGGCCUAACACAUGCAAGUCGAACGGAUCCUUCGGGAUUAGUGGCGGACGGGUGAGUAACGCGUGGGAACAUACCCUUUGGUACGGAAUAGCCUCGGGAAACUGGGAGUAAUACCGUAUGUGGUCGAGAGACGAAAGAUUUAUCGCCAAAGGAUUGGCCCGCGUUGGAUUAGGUAGUUGGUGGGGUAAUGGCCUACCAAGCCGACGAUCCAUAGCUGGUUUGAGAGGAUGGUCAGCCACACUGGGACUGAGACACGGCCCAGACUCCUACGGGAGGCAGCAGUGGGGAAUCUUAGACAAUGGGGGAAACCCUGAUCUAGCCAUGCCGCGUGAUCGAUGAAGGCCUUAGGGUUGUAAAGAUCUUUCAGGUGGGAAGAUAUUGACUGUACCACCAGAAGAAGCCCCGGCUAACUCCGUGCCAGCCGCCGCAGUAAAAC